AACGCAUAUUGCACUCUAUAGUAUUCUAUAGAGUAUGCUUGUUUGAGCGUCAUUUCAUUCUUAAACCCUAGGGUUUAGUAUUGGUACGAGUUGUUGCUAAAACAACAGUACAGAAAUGACUCGGCACUAAAGGUUGAAGUACUUUUCUAGUGAACUUGUUAUUAGGAUUAAACCCACUAAUGAGUACCCACUAGUUCUAUAAGUCUUUUUCUCUAGAAGGGCCUAACAAAAUUCUAACCAAUUUUGACCUCAAAUCAAGUAGGACUACCCGCUGAACUUAA
rnacentral:misc_RNA from 1 species